GUGCGAGCGUUGUCCGGAAUCACUGGGCGUAAAGGGCGCGUAGGCGGCGCGAGUAGUCAACGGUGAAAGCCCGGGGCUCAACCCCGGGUCGGCCGUCGAUACACUCGUGCUUGAGCACUGUAGAGGCAGGUGGAAUUCCGGGUGUAGCGGUGGAAUGCGUAGAGAUCCGGAAGAACACCGGUGGCGAAGGCGGCCUGCUGGGCAGUAGCUGACGCUGAGGCGCGACAGCGUGGGGAGCAAACAGG
rnacentral:rRNA from 1 species